AUGAACGCUGGCGGCGUGCUUAACACAUGCAAGUCGAACGGAAAGGCUCCUGCUUGCAGGGGUACUCGAGUGGCGAACGGGUGAGUAACACGUGGGUGAUCUGCCCUGCACUUCGGGAUAAGCCUGGGAAACUGGGUCUAAUACCGGAUAGGACCACAUUUUGGAUGGUGUGGUGGAAAGUUUUUCGGUGUGGGAUGAGCCCGCGGCCUAUCAGCUUGUUGGUGGGGUAAUGGCCUACCAAGGCGUCGACGGGUAGCCGGCCUGAGAGGGUGUACGGCCACAUUGGGACUGAGAUACGGCCCAGACUCCUACGGGAGGCAGCAGUGGGGAAUAUUGCACAAUGGGCGCAAGCCUGAUGCAGCGACGCCGCGUGGGGGAUGACGGCCUUCGGGUUGUAAACUCCUUUCGCUAGGGACGAAGCGCAAGUGACGGUACCUGGAGAAGAAGCACCGGCUAACUACGUG
rnacentral:rRNA from 1 species